UCGAACGGCAGCACGGGAGCAAUCCUGGUGGCGAGUGGCGAACGGGUGAGUAAUAUAUCGGAACGUGCCCAGUAGUGGGGGAUAGCCCGGCGAAAGCCGGAUUAAUACCGCAUACGACCUACGGGUGAAAGCGGGGGAUCGCAAGACCUCGCGCUAUUGGAGCGGCCGAUAUCAGAUUAGCUAGUUGGUGGGGUAAAAGCCUACCAAGGCGACGAUCUGUAGCUGGUCUGAGAGGACGACCAGCCACACUGGGACUGAGACACGGCCCAGACUCCUACGGGAGGCAGCAGUGGGGAAUUUUGGACAAUGGGCGCAAGCCUGAUCCAGCCAUGCCGCGUGUGGGAAGAAGGCCUUCGGGUUGUAAACCACUUUUGUCAGGGAAGAAACGGCUCUUACUAAUAUUAGGAGCUAAUGACGGUACCUGAAGAAUAAGCACCGGCUAACUACGUGC
rnacentral:rRNA from 1 species